rnacentral:rRNA from 1 species
AGCCUCUGGCUAUAGGAAAUUGUUAGUGGCAGACGGGUGAGUAAUGCGUAGGAAUCUACCUAGUAGUACGGAAUAGCCAUUAGAAAUGGUGGGUAAUACUGUAUAAUCCCCGAGGGGGAAAGAUUUAUCGCUAUUAGAUGAGCCUACGUUAGAUUAGCUAGUUGGUGAGGUAAUGGCUUACCAAGGCUAUGAUCUAUAGCUGGUCUGAGAGGACGAUCAGCCACACUGGAACUGAGAUACGGUCCAGACUCCUACGGGAGGCAGCAGUGGGGAAUAUUGGACAAUGGGCGAAAGCCUGAUCCAGCUAUGCCGCGUGAGUGAAGAAGGCCU